UUCUUUUGAAAUGCUAUCAGAAUGGCAAUCAUCCAAGUUGAAUGCAGUAUGUAAAUUAAUUAAGGGACGCUUGUUAUUAUGUUCUGUGACUGACUAAGCCGGAACUCUCAGCUCCCUCAGGCACUGCAGGAGAGAACAGCUGGUCAUCUUUUCACCCGAAGAAGGAAAAUGGUGUUUGAUAAUGAAAUCUGCGUCCCCUACCAUCUGCUGGCUAACCAUCAGCAGCUACAGCAUAAUUUGUCAACCUGCUGUACUCUAGGAUGAAGCCUGCUGGACAGAGAGGAAGAGAAGCAGAGAGAAGUGGCUGGCCCUUGCAGCGGAGGCUCCCCCUACCACCAAUGUGACUGAUCAUGGUGCUUAGCAGAAAGAAGGCUUCCUGUUCUUGGUCAUGUGACUCUCCAGAGUCUUCCAUCAACCGUGAUCUAAUCCUGUCAACUGCAAAUGUCAAAGACUGAACGUGAGACCUUCUGCAUUCCAUUGAAGCAUUCACAACGAAAGGCUGUAGAGUGGAGACUGCAGCCUCCCUGUGCACACAUUCAAAUACACAUCUGUGAUACAUCUCAGGGUUUACCACCCUCAACUUAUAAUGACCUGAAUUGUCGACACAUAUAUGUACACUCCUCUGACUGAGGUCGAAACAACUGGCAUCGAUAAAAACAUGAUGGAUGGCAGGGGUCCACCUCUGCAAAUGGCUCCAUGGUGCUCUGUGACUGGUUAUAGUUUGGAUCUGUUUGGUGAGGUGUGCUCUUCUAAGAACUUUACUGUGAAAAACCUGAGGAGUUAAGCAUACAUUAAAGGUUAACUGCUGCCGAUAUAUCUCACUGAAACCAUCGGGAUUCUCAGCGGGCUACUCCAUGCAAGUU
rnacentral:lncRNA from 1 species